UCACUAAAUGUAGAACCAAAUG
rnacentral:miRNA from 1 species